CAGUCGCCGCGGGAAUACAGAGGGUGCGAGCGUUAAUCGGAUUUACUGGGCGUAAAGCGUGCGUAGGCGGCUUCUUAAGUCGGAUGUGAAAUCCCUGAGCUUAACUUAGGAAUUGCAUUCGAUACUGGGAAGCUAGAGUAUGGGAGAGGAUGGUAGAAUUCCAGGUGUAGCGGUGAAAUGCGUAGAGAUCUGGAGGAAUACCGAUGGCGAAGGCAGCCAUCUGGCCUAAUACUGACGCUGGGGUACGAAAGCAUGGGGAGCAAACAGGAUUAGAGACCCCCGUAGUCCCUGUCUCUUAUAC
rnacentral:rRNA from 1 species